rnacentral:rRNA from 1 species
GACGUAGGGCGCGAGCGUUGUCCGGAUUUAUUGGGCGUAAAGAGCUCGUAGGCGGCUUGUCGGCGUCGUCCGUGAAAACCUGCAGCUUAACUGUGGGCUUGCGGUCGAUACGGGCAUCACUGGAGUUCGGCAGGGGAGACUGGAAUUCCUGGUGAUAGCGGUGAAAUGCGUAGAUAUCAAGAGGGAACACCUGGCGGCGAAGGCGGGUUGCUGGGCCGACACUGACGGCUGGAUGACGGCGAAAGCCGGGGAGCGAACGGG